UUUUUUUUUAUCAUUGUCACUGUUAUCCUCAGUUUCUGUCUUUCUUCUCUCUGUUUACAAUCACUUCCUCCUUAUUUUGUAUUGACAUAGAUUAAAUUUAAUAUAACUACCUUGAUCUAUCAAAGGGGAUCAGUGUUUAAUGCCAACUGGUGAUUUCCUAUGGACUAGAAAUAUGCUUGAAACCUAAAGAUCUCAUUUUAAAUAAAAAUACCAAUAUUGGCAUGCUAAAUGAAAAAUACGUAUCUCCAACCUCGACCGAAAUGGAGAAUUUUGUUUCUAUACUCUAUUGAAUAUACUGAGUCUAUUUAAUAUUUCAACUGAAGAAUACGGCGGACGAAAACGCGUCCGUUUUCGAGCACGCAUUCCCACUUCCAGAUAUCGGUACCACACUACCGCUUCAUCCACUCAACCACCUAUCAAUCUCACCGCCGUCUAUACACAUGGUAUGCAACACAUUUUAUUUUAACGUCCUUAGUUACGGAGUACACGUAUUUUCUCGCGCUUAAGCUCCGUUUUAAUUUGAAUAAACGAUACAAUUGACGUUUUAAGUAUCUAACGCAAUUUUUCUGUGUUUCCUAUUAGUUUGAUUGAAACAAUAUAUUAUGUGUGUAUAUUACCAUAGGCGCAACUUUGAGGGUGCUAAAAUUAUAAACACAUCAAAGACUCAUAGGGUCUACUCCCCACAAUUCCCUUUGCAUGACUUUAACAAUAUUUAACUACACCUUUCAUUUAAAAUUUUAUAUAUACAAAUUUAUCGUGACUAUUUUAACAUUAUCUUUCAUACACAUAUGUAUUGUCUGUAGGAAACCUAUAUAUUAUUUAUUUCUGUUCAUUAAUUGAUUAAUUGAUUCAUGGAUUAAAUAUUUAGUCGUUGCUAUGAAAAACCUAAUUGAGUGUUUUGGUGGUGUUAAAAAUCCCCUGGCACCCUCCUAGUUGCUCCUAUGUGUAUUACGAUGAUUUAUUUGACUGUAGGUAUUUAGUUAUUACGACUAGCUAUAUACACGGCAGCAAUGAUGACAAUCACGGUGUACGAUCCGUAACUAUUGUUUCCGAUCAAUCUAUUCACGUAUGAGCGAACCGGCGUUCAGUUUAAUAGAAAAUAGCAAUUUAAGGGGAUGGUUUUCUAUCGUUUAACGAAGUAAAAUUUAAAUGUUAUCAAACAAAAACCAUUAAAAAUUGCAUUUGAAAAUAAUGAGAUAUAUCGUAUUUUCAUAAAAUAUUGUAAUCAAUUACUUAGCAAAAUAAAGUUAAUUAAAACACUUGGAGAUACGUUAUUUUAGUUUAAGACCAUAUUAGUUUAUCGAUAAUUCGAUAUCAAUUGUUUAGAUUUGUAAUUAUUGUAAUUAAAUGUUGAAAACACUAAGAUUUACAGUAGUAGUGUAAUAUUUUAUUAUCAUGAACUUAAUUAUAUUCUGCAUGCCUCUUCUCGACCUUGUCAUAUUAUCAUUUAAAGCCCGCCAAAACAGGAGGGUAUGAACCACGGUUAAAGAUAAUUUGUAUACUUAAUAUGUUCAUCAAAAUAUUAGUAACUAAAUUCUUAUCAUACAAUUAAUUUAUAUUUAUUAUAAAUUACGACUAUUAACAUAGGUAAUGCCAGAUGUAUAAAUAUUUUUUAUAAUCGAAUGGUGAAAUUAAUACCUAGUGAUUUAUAUAUUAUAUUUAAAAUUACUAAAAGUAGUUGGAUAAAUAUACUUGUAGCUAUUGUCAAAAUUACACAUAGUCAACAUCAAUUUGAAGAAAUAUUAGAAACACAUAGAAAAGGUGUAAGUAAUUUAUUCAUAAUGCAAUACAAUACUUACAACGGUAUUUUGUCAGUUUAUCUAACAAAAUACUGGACUAAUAAUUAAUAUCAGUGAGAAAACUGAGACUGAAUCUAAAAAUUAUAAUAUAAAUUAUUAUUUCUAUUUGUUAUAAAUUUACCUAAAGAGUACUUAAUUUUAUUUUAUUCAAAUAGAAUAUAUAAAACCAAAGAUAGGUAUACGAUUCCUAAAAUUGAAUUUUGAAUUUACAAUUUAUUAUUUCUUUAAAAUAAAUGUUUACUUCAUUAUAAUGCAAUAAAUAAAUGAUUACAUAAUUUACAUUACUUAUGUUCACAUAAAUCUAUAUACUAUUUUAAUAAAUUUAUCACCAAGAAAAUGGACAUAUUAUAUUAUGGUUUAGGAGAUCCUUAAUGAGAAAAGUGACUCCAAUAUAAUUAUGUAGACAUACUACUUUUUGGGUUAAAAUAAUCAUUAGAAAAAAUAUAAUGUGGACAUGAUACCUUUGAGCUUAGUUAAUACUUCAUAAAAUAAAGAGUAUUUCUCUUUUUAAUUAGAAUGGAACUGUUCAAAAAAUCUCACAUUUUUUAAUGUAAUUUAGAGCAUGCCAUAAUGAGAUUUAUUGGUAAAUUUAAUUUGCUUUUCUCCAACAAUUUAAUUAACUGAGAUAUGUUUUUUUGGUUAACCCUUCCUACUUUCAAGACUUGUUAAAUUACUGGUGGGGAAAUAUCUGGAUCUAAUAUAACUAAAAACAUUCCAUAAAUGAAAAAUAAAAAUAUUCUGUUUUGCUAUUUCUAUUUGAAAAAGAGACGAAAAAAUUAGUAGAUAAAAUAAAUAAUAAUGUAUCUAGAUAGAAGGUACCUAGAUUUUUUUAAACCACACAAAUAAUAAUGUUUUAUACAUUAUGUAUACUUUAUAAUUUCUAUGCUGAUAAUAUAAACCACAAAUUCAUAAUAUAAUUUUCUUAUAUUAAAAUGUAUAAUUCUUUUUAUUAUUUAUUAGAUAUUUUUACAGUUCAGAAGUGUGAAAUGCAUAUGUUAGUAGUGUAAUUUUUAUUGUCUUUCUUUAUGUGAAAAACAUAAUGUUAUAUUUGUGGCAUUAUUGUGAUAAUUGGAUCUGGAAGAGGGAAUGACUUAAAAUUGGAGUACUCGCAGAAUUUAUAUAAUUUUAAGAAAAUAGUGAUAUGAUUUAACAAACAUUUCAUAUGGUUAAAAUGUUUAUUGGCUCCCAUUUUGUAAUCCAUAAUGCAACAUUUGAUCUGGAAAAAAAAGAAAGAAAUUUAAAAUAUGCCGUUGUAAUCAAAUUAUACUUUGAAUGAAUUGGUUUUCCUUUUUUUGGCUAUAUUUGUAAUGCUUAACCGCCCAUAAACUAGUGGUUUUCCGGAUACAUUAGUAUUAAUAAAUCAAGUAUUAGCCAUAAUAAUUUUUAUAAAUGCCGGGUACCGAGUACAGAAUAUGUUAUUUAGUACCCAGUUAGGACUCGAUGACCAAGUACCCGGUUAGGUUUAGAGUGCCUUGAUAGAUAGUGUGACCAUUUUGUUACUAAGUAUUAAUUAGUAAUUUUGAUAAUACUUUGAUGAUAAAUUGUUGUUAAUAAAUUUUAAAAAAUGGUAAAUAUGUAUAUAAAUACUUUAUCAAUUAUAAUUUAUUUGUAUACCGAUUUCAUCAGUUAUAUGGCUGAGCAUUAAAAAUAUCAACAUUUACAAUAAAUUGUUUAUAUGCAAAUAUGAAAUAAAGAAAUUAUAAAUUAGUACAUCCAGAAUAAAAUGUUAUGACUAAUAUAAACAAUUAUUAUUUGUUUAAUAUAAUUUAACAAGGAAUAUUUUUUAGAAAUUAUAUUGCCUGGUAAUUUAGAACUCUGUUCUUUUUAAAAUAAAUAUUCUAUACUUUCUAGAAUAUAAUAAUGAAUACCUAUAACAUGUUAUUAAUUAAGACUAUAUCAUAUAGCUUAAAAAUUAAUAUUUGAGAAAAAAAGCGAACAAUUUGAAAUUUAAACUAUAAAAAAACAUGUAAUAGCUUACAAACUAGUAUACACUGAAAUGUCUGUUAGCCAACUAAUGACGGCCUAAUCUUUUAUAACUAUUACUAGGUCUCUAUUUAAAUCUACAUUUGUAAUUAUUAUUAUUAUUUUAUGAUUUUCUUCUUUGACAGUCACAUUUUUUUUGAUUUUUCUAUAAAAAUAUUGCAUUAUUUUUACAAUUUUUUUAUUAUUAUUUAAUAUGUAAACAAUUAUUAUUUUUAAUAAUUUUAGUUACGUAUACCUACUAAUGAAUCGUUAAGUUUUUCGUUAUUUUUCCGAAAAAUCUCUAUUAUUAACGACCAAGUUCUUAACUUUCUUUAACUUAUUAACUUCUUAUAACUCAUAUUUACUUAAUAGAACGUUCUUUUCUUAGAUAAUAAUUGAAACAUUCUUAAUUAGUAUAAUAUUUAAAAUUUGUAAUUGAAUAAUUACACGGCAACUAUAAUAACAUUAUUUUAUUAAUAUUUCAGGGUCAAUUUUAAAAAAAAAAAAUUGAAAAAAUGAAAAAUUCAUCAUAUAUUGGCCUGAG
rnacentral:lncRNA from 1 species